rnacentral:rRNA from 1 species
CGAAGGGUGCAAGCGUUACUCGGAAUUACUGGGCGUAAAGCGUGCGUAGGUGGUUCGUUAAGUCUGUCGUGAAAUCCCCGGGCUCAACCUGGGAAUGGCGAUGGAUACUGGCGAGCUAGAGUGAGGUAGAGGAGAGUGGAAUUCCCGGUGUAGCAGUGAAAUGCGUAGAGAUCGGGAGGAACAUCAGUUGCGAAGGCGGCUCUCUGGACCAUCACUGACACUGAGGCACGAAAGCGUGGGGAGCAAACAGGAUUAGAUACCCUGGUAGUCCACACCCUAAACGAUGCGAACUGGACGUUGGGCUCAAUUAGGAGCUCAGUGUCGAAGCUAACGCGUUAAGUUCGCCGCCUGGGGAGUACGGUCGCAAGACUG